GACUUGCUUUUAAAAAUUAUUGUUUAUGAUGUUUAUGUUAGGGUGUAAGGGAUUCAACUUUUUAAAUUUCCUGCUGGAACCGCAACAUAGGCGGAACUUGAAAAAAGUUCCGGUCGAGACUACGUAAAACAAACUCACUCGGGCGGAACGAAACAACAUUAACAGGCACAUCACUCAAGCGAGUAGGACAUUGUUGUUAGUUGUUGGAAUAUAUUCACAGGAACCGAGUACAAUUAGAUAAUGCUGCAAUGCUAAAAGUAUGAUUACCUGCCGAUAUGAGAUCAGAAAAAUUGUGCUAUAUAGAUGAAGGUUUUGUCUUUUCAUUAUGUCAAAUGUGGAACCAAAGGUGGAUCUAACGGUUUUUAGUGCAUCUCCUAGAUUGAAGCAUUUUACGAUGCUUGUAGCAGAAAUUAAAUUAAGAAAAAUGUUUGGUUACGUCCAACUGUUUGUGAAACGUUCCGGCAGGAACCGGAACUAUUAAAAAUUAUGAUUCCAGCCGGAUAGUUAUGUCCUGGUCAAAGUUCCGGGGCACUCCUACUUUAUGUUCUAACGUUGUGUGUAACAACAAAUUGAACUUACUCAUGUUAUGAUUACUUGGGAUUUUACAGUACAGAAGAGGAUAUGUAUAUGACACCGGAGGAUGAUGAUGCUGGUCAUGUCGUCCCAGCUGCACCCAGCGAUAUCCUGUCUCAAAUGACGGUUGACGAGGAAGUAUUCGCAUUUGAUGCAACUCUGCAUCGCUGAUGCAGCCCAUGUUCGAGGAAGAUGGUGCUCACAGCCACUCAUCAGAGGCAUGUACGCUUUCAACCUCCUGCUGCCAACAUGCAUCAUCAUAUCUGGGAACAGCAUCUACAAGGUUGCCCAUCUGUUUAAACUCAUGAAUCUGGGAUGUGUUGGUCUGUCAAAUGCAGACAGGUAAUUAUAACUGCCCUGUUCUAUUUGUAGCAAUAUGGGGUCAUACGAAAACCCCAUGCUAUAUUACUUCUGUGAUCGAAAUUAACUGUAUCACUAUAUCCCUGGGAAAGUAGAAUUUUGUGUUGGAUACCAGAUUUCGAAUGCUUGUUAUCCCUCGAUAUCUCGAUACGAUCCUCGAUAGUAAAGAAAAUCGGGAUAGUGGUUGUUGAGUUAUCAGCUAUCCCUCAAAAACUGUAGUUAAACAACCUGUUGGUACCAAUUACAUGUGUUCUUUUUUUUUAUUCAUUUGUUAAUUACCUGCCAGUGUUAUCAAUUCAUUCUUUGCUCUUCAGAAUCGUAUUUACUACUUUACAGUGUACAAAAUGUUAAUGUUGAAAUCUAGUAUAAAAAAGGGAGACCAGAUCUUUUGGGGGAUACUAGAUUUAAAAUACUAUGUAUCCCAGAUGGAUACCAUAAUAAAAAUCUAAUUUCAAUCCUUAUACUUUAGCUGUGUAAAGCAUGACCCUGGACUAAUGAGUAGUGAGGCAACCAAUUAUAAGCGGUCGCAUGUAGCAGGUUGCCGAAAAACAAUAGAUAGGCGUAUCCCCAGUUUGGGUAUAAAAUCUCUGGUUUGGAGAGAGAGAGACAGACAGUCAGAGAUACAGAUAUAGACAGAGAUAGACAGAGUAAGAUACAGAGAUAUUGCACAUUUGCAUACGAACGGAUGACCCAGCAUUAGCCUAGUAAGUUGUGACGUGUCUCGCGUAAACCUAGUGUACGCGCAUACCUUGUUAUGGAAUUAUACAUAGUACAUAUAAAGAGAAUCAUUGAAUACGUA